rnacentral:rRNA from 1 species
AGUGAACGCUGGCGGUAGGCCUAACACAUGCAAGUCGAACGGCAGCACAGUAAGAGCUUGCUCUUACGGGUGGCGAGUGGCGGACGGGUGAGGAAUACAUCGGAAUCUACUUUUUCGUGGGGGAUAACGUAGGGAAACUUACGCUAAUACCGCAUACGACCUACGGGUGAAAGCAGGGGAUCUUCGGACCUUGCGCGAUUGAAUGAGCCGAUGUCGGAUUAGCUAGUUGGCGGGGUAAAGGCCCACCAAGGCGACGAGCCGUAGCUGGUCUGAGAGGAUGACCAGCAACACUGGAAUGAGAAAACGGCCCAAACUCCAACGGAGGCAGGAAGGGGGGAAUAUUGGACAAUGGGGGCAAGCCGAAGCCGACCAGACCGGUGGGGGGAAGAAGGCCUUCGGGUGUUAAAGCCCUUUUGUUGGGAAAGAAAAGCAGCAUGUUAAUACCCCGCUGUUCUGACGGUACCCAAAGAAUAAGCACCGGCUAACUUCGUG